rnacentral:rRNA from 1 species
AGUGAACGCUGGCGGUAGGCCUAACACAUGCAAGUCGAACGGCAGCACAGUAAGAGCUUGCUCUUACGGGUGGCGAGUGGCGGACGGGUGAGGAAUACAUCGGAAUCUACUUUUUCGUGGGGGAUAACGUAGGGAAACUUACGCUAAUACCGCAUACGACCUACGGGUGAAAGCAGGGGAUCUUCGGACCUUGCGCGAUUGAAUGAGCCGAUGUCGGAUUAGCUAGUUGGCGGGGUAAAGGCCCACCAAGGCGACGAUCCGUAGCUGGUCUGAGAGGAUGAUCAGCCACACUGGAACUGAGACACGGUCCAGACUCCUACGGGAGGCAGCAGUGGGGAAUAUUGGACAAUGGGCGCAAGCCUGAUCCAGCCAUACCGCGUGGGUGAAGAAGGCCUUCGGGUUGUAAAGCCCUUUUGUUGGGAAAGAAAAGCAGCAGGUUAAUACCCCGCUGUUCUGACGGUACCCAAAGAAUAAGCACCGGCUAACUGCGG